AUACGUAGGGGGCGAGCGUUGUCCGGAAUGAUUGGGCGUAAAGGGCGCGUAGGCGGCCCGGUAAGUCUGGAGUGAAAGUCCCGCAUUCAAUGUGGGAAUUGCUUUGGAUACUGCCGCGCUUGAGUGCAGGAGAGGUUAUCGGAAUUCCCGGUGUAGCGGUGAAAUGCGUAGAGAUCGGGAGGAACACCAGUGGCGAAGGCGGGUAACUGGACUGCAACUGACGCUGAUGCGCGAAAGUGUGGGGAGCAAACAGGAUUAGAUACCCUGGUAGUCCACACUGUAAACGAUGAAUGCUAGGUGUAAGAGGUAUCGACCCCUUUUGUGCCGGAGUCAACACAAUAAGCAUUCCGCCUGGGGAGUACGGCCGCAAGGUUGAAACUCAAAGGAAUUGACGGGG
rnacentral:rRNA from 1 species